UUGAAAAUCAAAAGGAGAGAGGACCACAACUGGAGAUUAGGAGGGGUAAGGAUUUAUGGGAAGAUGAGUCCAUAGGUCGAACCUGUAGAUGUUGUCCGCAAUUCUAGCAUUUUGUUCUGCUAACGAAGACCUUCCAACUUUCACAGAAAAAAAAAGACCUUCCAAAGGAUGGAGUGGUCAAGAAUGAAGAAUUGGACAUGAUUUUCGCUGCUUCAAUAGAUGUAUAAGUGGCAAUGUUAUGGCUGGAAUAAGAUGUAAGCCCUCUUCGACAAUAAAUUUUGCUUACUCUUUGUAUUAGCUACAUGGAUCACAAGCCAUCUAUGUUAAUAAUACUACAGUUUGGUUUAUAUUAAUUAAAAAGUUCAAUAUUUGCAAGGC
rnacentral:lncRNA from 1 species